rnacentral:lncRNA from 1 species
CGAUCUUUCUUCCGUCUCUCCAUCACAGAGGCUGGGGCGUGCACUGUGGGCGGAUGAUGACUUUUGCAGCUUUCCCAGGCUCCCCGCUUAUUCACCGACACAGGGGCAGGAUGGUAGGCAAAGCUGCUUCAGUGGACAGUCGCAUGAUAGAGUAAGCUGAGGUCUGAGAAACCAUGUGAGCAUUGCCUGGCACAUGGGAAGCAGGUACGAGUGCCCAUACAGAGGUCAGAGGACAUCUUGUAAGAAUUGGUUCUCUCACGAAGUUUGGAGCUGAGACGAAAGGAUGGACCAUCUACAGACUGCCAUAUCCAGGGAUCCAUCCCAUAAUCAGC